rnacentral:rRNA from 1 species
GCAAGUCGAGGGGUAACAGGAUAGCUUGCUAUCGCUGACGACCGGCGCACGGGUGAGUAACGCGUAUACAAUUUACCUCAUACAGGAGGAUAGGCCUAAGAAAUUGGGAUUAAUACUGCAUACUGUCAUUACUGCGCAUGUAGUAAUGAUGAAAGCUAAGGCGGUAUGAGAUAAGUAUGCGUUCUAUUAGCUGGUUGGUGAGGUAACGGCUCACCAAGGCGACGAUAGAUAGGGGUACUGAGAGGUAACGUCCCCCACACUGGUACUGAGACACGGACCAGACUCCUACGGGAGGCAGCAGUGAGGAAUAUUGGUCAAUGGACGCAAGUCUGAACCAGCCAUGCCGCGUGAAGGAAGAAGGUCUGAUGGAUUGUAAACUUCUUUUAAUUGGGAAGAACAGCGCGAACGUGUUCGCGUAUGCCGUUACCAAUAGAAAAAGCACCGGCUAACUCCGUGCCAGCAGCCGCGGUAAUACGAAGGGGGCUAGCGUUGUUCGGAAUCACUGGGCGUCAAGGGACAGUAGGCGGAUAUGCAAGUUUGGGGUGAAAUCCCGAGGCUCAACCUCGGAACUGCCUUGAAAACUGUAUAUCUAGAAUCCGGAAGGGGAGUGUGGAACUCCUAGUGUAGAGGUGAAAUUCGUAGAUAUUAGGAAGAACACCGAUGGCGAAGGCAACACUCUGGUACGGUAUUGACGCUGAAGCGCGAAAGCGUGGGGAGCAAACAGGAUUAGAUACCCUGGUAGUCCACGCCGUAAACGAUGUCUGCUAGU